rnacentral:lncRNA from 1 species
UAGCUAUAGACUUAGUGUCUAACAAAUAACAUCGACAGCUAUGGACUUAGUGCCUAUUGGACAAACACUGGUAGCUAUGGACUUAGUACCUGUUAGGAAUUGGUAGCUAUGGACUUAGUACCUAUUAGAUAAACACUGGUAGCUAUGGAUUAAGUACCCAACAGCUAUGGAAUUAGUGCUUUACGAACGGGUAUUGGCAACUAUGGAUUUAGUGCCAGUCCUAUAACCCUAGAAGCGAAGGACUUCAAAAUGAACGAAUGCAGGAUAGAUGACUCUUAGGGUAGACUCUUAAGAGUAAGGAAGAUAAUAGGGAUGGGUAAUUAGGUUGAUUGUUUGAUUGUUUAAACAUAACAAUUAUAUUAUUGUGGGUUGAAAAUCCUAUGUACUCCCCAGGUUUCCCAACCUGACCCACUCAAUUUAUUUAUAUUACAGGUGUUGAGAUGAAGUCACAUUACAUUGAGAGAUUAAAGAGAUGUAGAUCACUAGUGUAAAUAAAUGUAAGUUCUGUUUAUGCUUAUGUUUUUGUAUUGACGAUGACAUCCCAAAUGUUUUAAAACGAAUUAAAAAUACUUUUCUUCGGAAAUGCGUUGAUAAUGUAUUUAUCAUGUUUUACUGGGAACAAAUUCCGCAACGUUUUUAUUAAAAUAGGUACUCUGAUUUUUAUAAAGCAUAAACAAAAUUGGUCUUUUCUGGCCGUGAAAAUGGGGAUGUCACAGUUGUUAUCAGAGCAUUAGUUUAAGCGAACUAGGAAUAAGAAUUUAUUUCUAGACUUAAACUUAGAAUGCGAAGCGAUGAUUGUGAGAUGAGUGUCUGCUAUAAUUUAGACACGAGCACUAGUUUAUUUUUGGAAAAUGCCUAAAAUGUUUUAUGUGCUAAAUGAUUUAUUUUAUAACUAUAAAGAUGCCUUAUAUGCUGUUAUUUGUUCAGAUCUAUGGUUUGUUGCCGACCGGAUCUGGAAACCAUAUGUGUUCAGGAUUCUAAGCGUAUGAUUACGACAUUAGAACUAGCAUGUAACGUUUCGGUGUGACAAGGAGAUUUAUACAUCUAUCGUAAAUAAAAUCUUUCCUAUCUUAAAUUCUCGUCUCGGUACACCAAGCGUCUGCUUGGGUGUACAAAACAAGAGGAAGAUGACAACCUGAGCCUAAGAAUGUGAUGGGUCAUACAUCGGUCGUUGCGCCUACACCCGAACCUAUCACAAUGGCAGAAGUUCAGGAAGUGAUGCGAACCAUGAUAGACUGAGAAAAUAGAGGAAAUGAGAUGGCUUACGAUGCUGAAUGAUACCAAUCAAAAGAUAUCAUAAGAGAGGUAUCUUGCCUUUAGAAUACGUCUAAUAAAAUAGUUGUACGUCUAUAGAAGUUGGGUACAUCUGAAUGUACACAUUUGAUUGGCGGGAUGAUAGAACGAUUGAUGUAAUUCCUAAAGUUUUCCUAUCAUCUGGAAUGUCCAUCACCAACCGAGUGGAAGCAAAAUUGAUGAUUGAAGAUAUGCAUGGAAGAAGUCCUAGUAGAGUCUAGGGAAAUUUUUAUGAUUAUUUUGGACACACUCGUAUGUGUUAAAUUGUUUCGUGAUUUUAGGACUUGGGGACUGCGAGACAAUACUUGGGACGAGUAUGAGUAGGUGUGAAAGGUAGUAGAUGCAUAUACUACCGGAAGCACAGGACUCACGCUUGGAUCAGGGAAAGUCACAAGGUUACCAAGAAGCUAGUAAUUAAUACCGUUUUAUUCAAGUAUGUCGUUACCAUCGUUUUGGUAAUGACUAAAAAGAUUGUUGAUAUUCCGACCCUAGUGGUCAUAUAGAAUGGAGUCCAACUACACUGAGUAUGCUAUGUGGUUUAGAAAAUCAAGUUCGAUGUAGCAUUUGACUUAAGACGGAAGACUGGAAUAAAAAGCGAUUAGUAGAGGUAGCACGAAAAGUUGCUUGUAGCUAGAAAUGCUACCUUUUAAAAUGUGAUUAUAUCACAUUAGAACAUGAAGGAAGGUAUAGUAUGUUUUGGAAUAUAACUAUAAGAGACCUGAGUCUAAACGUGCAUCACACGAUGGUAGGUCAUAAUUUGGAGUCUAACCUAAGAUAGAAAGCAGAUGCACGAUCGAGUAUUGCUUACAGUCAAUAAGUCUAAGAGAUAGACUUGAAGGAAUAUAGAAGUUAUAAUUAUUACCAAGAAUGAAGAGAUGACGUAUGGAGUCAUUAUACGAGCCCUGUUUCAUUGAUGAUUCCGGGACGUAAUCAUCCUAAGGGGGGAGAUAAUUGUAAAGCCCGUAGAUCCGGGCUAGUCAAUUUAGAGGCAAUAAGUGUCGAAAAUGACUUUUUGGCAAAAUAUUAUUUAGAAUAAAUAAUCUUAACCAAGUUGUAGUAUAUGUUACAAGGUUUCCGUACAUAUAAAGACCGCCGAAAUCCGAGUUAUUACGAAGAAGUUAUAACACGUCGAAGUUUCGCGACGGAACCAACACGAUACCGGGAAACGUAAGUAGUGAAUUUACGAUAGAGCAAGAUUUAGCCUUACCGAUCUAAACGAAAGUCGUAGAAUAUGUUAAACCGAAAGCGUCCAUAAAAAGAACGUCCAAAUCUGACUUCGUAUGAGGAAGUUAUGAUUUUUCGAAGUUUCAGAUUAGCAGUGUACAACCCGAAAUUCGAAUAUUAGAUCGAGCAGUUUUUAGCCAACACAACCUAAACGAGAAUCAAAGAUCACAUUGUUAGUAGCGUAACGAUAAAAAGACAUACGAAAUGGACAUCGGAUGCAGAAGUUAUGAGAUUUUAACAGACCAAUCCUAUCCCGGCCUGUUAAAAAUAUAACUUUAAAAAUAAAGUCAAAUUUAGCCGAUGGAGUCUAAACGAAAGUUGUAAAGUACGUCUCCACCUACGCGUGGAUAUAAAUAACGUUAAAAAUGGAGUUCGUAUGAACAAGUUACAAAUUAUGAUAACAUAUUUACGUAUAAAAUAAUGUAUAAAUCAUAUAUACGUGCACAUAUAUAUACAUAUGUAUAUAUAUCAUUAGAAAGGUAUCGACCGAGCAUUUCGGUCCCUUGUGAUUCGACUUCUUUUUCUGUAGUUUUAGUAUAGUAAAGUGAGCGCUGAAGCGCUGCAUGAAUCUUUCUUAGAAAAUUCAACGACGAAGUUCUGCCCCUGCAGAGCCCGACUCCUAGCUUAAAUCCUCUUGUAAGUAAGUUAUGCUUACCCUAUUUUAAAUAUAGUUUAUAUUUAAAACUAGUAUUGUUAUUAUAUAUUUAUAAUAAAUAUUUGAGCUAUUAUUAUGACUUAUAUAAGUGUCAUUAUAAUAUCUUUUUAACUACUUGCAGUACGGGGAAUCUGGUUUAAAGGGCCGCAUAGGGUUGUUGGAUUUCAAAAGUGUUAUACGCCAAAAUGGUCUUGUCCUCUGGUGUUUUAUGUCUGGCCCCUGUCUGUACAUAGUGGUUGGAAAGUAUUGUUUAAACGCUUAUAUAAUAAUAAUAAUAAGACUAAUAAUUAGUCACGGUAAAUAUNUAAUAAUAAUAAUAAUAAUAAUAAUAAUAAUAAUAAUAAUAAUAAUAAUAAUAAUAAUAAUAAUAAUAAGACUAAUAAUUAGUCACGGUAAAUAUUAGACUAAAAUCUAGUGGUAAUAAUACUAGGUUUCGUCGAAGAAAAUUAUUUUAAAGUAAACGAAGCACUGUCCGAGUACUGAGUCACCACCUUCUCAGGUGAGUGCAUAGUUACUUUCAUCUUACACAUAGAUAUGAAGUAUUUUAUAUAAACUACGUGCUAUGUGUGCAUAUUAUCUAAAUACUUGCUAUCUAUGCUGGAUGAACGUUUUUAUACAUGUUUUAAAUGAUUUAAACUAUAUACGUAUUUUAUAUAUACAAAUAUGUUGGAUAUGACAUGGGUAGAUGAAUGAUGAGAGAUAAAGGAUGAUGUGAGUAAACAUUGGUAGCUAUAGACUUAGUGCCUAACAAAUAACAUCGGCAACUAUGGACCUAGUGCCUAUUGGACAAACACUAGUAGCUAUGGACUUAGUACCUGUUAGGAAUUGGUAGCUACGGACUAAGUACCUAUUAGAUAAAUACUGGUAGCUAUGGAUUAAGUACCCAACAGCUAUGGAAUUAGUGCUUUACGAACGGGUAUUGGCAGCUAUGGAUUUAGUGCCAGUCCUAUAACCCUAGAAGCAAGGGACCUCGGAAUAAACGAAUGCAGGAUAGAUGACUCUUAGGGUAGACUCUUAAGAGUAAGGAAGAUAAUAGGGAUGGGUAAUUAGGUUGAUUGUUUGAUUGUUUAAACAUA